GGUGCAUGGUUGUCGUCAGCUCGUGUCGUGAGAUGUUGGGUUAAGUCCCGCAACGAGCGCAACCCCUAUUGUUAGUUGCCAUCAUUCAGUUGGGCACUCUAGCGAGACUGCCGGUAAUAAACCGGAGGAAGGUGGGGAUGACGUCAAAUCAUCAUGCCCCUUAUGACCUGGGCUACACACGUGCUACAACGGUUGGUACAACGAGUUGCGAGUCGGUGACGGCGAGCUAAUCUCCUAAAGCCAAUCUCAGUUCGGAUUGUAGGCUGCAACUCGCCUACAUGAAGUCGGAAUCGCUAGUAAUCGCGGAUCAGCACGCCGCGGUGAAUACGUUCCCGGGCCUU
rnacentral:rRNA from 1 species